rnacentral:rRNA from 1 species
CUCAAACGACUCUCGGCAACGGAUAUCUCGGCUCUUGCAUCGAUGAAGAACGUAGGGAAAUGCGAUACUUGGUGUGAAUUGCAGAAUCCCGUGAACCAUCGAGUCUUUGAACGCAAGUUGCGCCCGAGGCCAUUAGGUCGAGGGCACGUCUGCCUGGGCGUCAC